GACGAACGCUGGCGGCGCGCCUAACACAUGCAAGUCGAACGGAGUCAAGAGGAGCUUGCUUUUCUUGACUUAGUGGCGAACGGGUGAGUAACGCGUGAGUAACCUGCCGUGGAGUGGGGGACAACAGUUGGAAACGACUUCUAAUACCGCAUAAGCCCACGGAUCUUCAUGGUUCUUCGGGAAAAGGAUUUAUUCGCCUUAGGAUGGACUCGCGUCCAAUUAGCUAGUUGGGGAGGUAACGGCCCACCAAGGCGAAGAUUGGUUGCCGGACUGGUAGGAUGAACGGCCACAUUGGGACUGAGACACGGACCAGACUCCUACGGGAGGAAGCAGUGGGGGAUAUUGCACAAUGGGGGAAACCCUGAUGCAGCGACGCCGCGUAGAGGAAGAAGGUUUUCGGAUUGUAAACUCCUGUCGUUAGGGACGAUAAUGACGGUACCUAACAAGAAAGCACCGGCUAACUACGUG
rnacentral:rRNA from 1 species